GACGAACGCUGGCGGCGUGCCUAAUACAUGCAAGUGGGACGCAAGGGAACACACUGUGCUUGCACACCGUGUUUUCUUGAGUCGCGAACGGGUGAGUAACGCGUAGGUAACCUGCCUAUUAGCGGGGGAUAACUAUUGGAAACGAUAGCUAAUACCGCAUAAUACUAAUUAUUGCAUGAUAAUUGAUUGAAAGAUGCAAGCGCAUCACUAGUAGAUGGACCUGCGUUGUAUUAGCUAGUAGGUGAGGUAACGGCUCACCUAGGCGACGAUACAUAGCCGACCUGAGAGGGUGAUCGGCCACACUGGGACUGAGACACGGCCCAGACUCCUACGGGAGGCAGCAGUAGGGAAUCUUCGGCAAUGGGGGGAACCCUGACCGAGCAACGCCGCGUGAGUGAAGAAGGUUUUCGGAUCGUAAAGCUCUGUUGUAAGAAAAGAACGGGUGUGAGAGUGGAAAGUUCACACGGGGACGGUAUCUACCAGAAAGGAC
rnacentral:rRNA from 1 species